UUCCGGUUGAUCCUGCCGGACCCCACUGCUAUCGAGGUGAGACUAAGCCAUGCCAGUUGAACGCCUUUGGACUAUGGCAAAGGAGUAGCACACUGCUCAGUAACACGUAGCUAACCUACCCUUGGGAUGGUGAUAACCCCGGGAAACUGGGGUCAAUAACCGAUAGAUAUGGAUUCCUGGAAUGGUUCCAUAUUGAAAUGUUUGUACACCCAUGUCGUGUACAUAUACCCGAGGAUGGGGCUGCGGCCGAUCAGGCUGUUGGUGAGGUAACGGCUCACCAAACCUUUGACCGGUACGGGCCAUGAGAGUGGUAGCCCGGAGAUGGGCACUGAGACAAGGGCCCAGGCCCUACGGGGCGCAGCAGGUACGGAACCUCCACAAUUCACGAAAGUGAGAUGGGGUUACCUCGAGUGCUGCCUGAAUAAGGUGGCUUUUCCGUUGUGUAACAAUCUGUGGGAAUAAGGGGGGGGCAAGACUGGUGUCAGCCGCCGCGGUAACACCAGCCCCCCGAGUGGUGGGGAUGCUUAUUUGGCCUAAAGCGUCCGUAGCCGGCUCUGUAAAUCUUUCGUUAAAUCCAGCGUCCUAAGCGUUGGGCCGCGAGAGACACUGCCGAGCUAGAGGGUGGGAGAGGUCAGCGGUAUUUCUGGGGUAGGGGCGAAAUCCAUUGAUCCCAGGAGGACCACCAGUGGCGAAGGCUGCUGACUUGAACACGCCUGACGGUGAGGGACGAAAGCUGGGGUAGCGAAUCGGAUUAGAUACCCGAGUAGUCCCAGCCGUAAACGAUGCAGGCUAGGUGUUGGGUUGGCCACGCGCCGACUCAGUGCCACAGGGAAGCCAUUAAGCCUGCCGCCUGGGGAGUACGGCCGCAAGGCUGAAACUUAAAGGAAUUGGCGGGGGAGCACCACAAGGGGUGAAGCCUGCGGUUCAAUUGGAUUCAACGCCGGG
rnacentral:rRNA from 1 species